rnacentral:rRNA from 1 species
AGUAAUGCAAGUCGAGCGAACAGAAGGGAGCUUGCUCCCGGAUGUUAGCGGCGGACGGGUGAGUAACACGUGGGUAACCUGCCUGUAAGACUGGGAUAACUCCGGGAAACCGGAGCUAAUACCGGAUAGUUCCUUGAACCGCAUGGUUCAAGGAUGAAAGACGGUUUCGGCUGUCACUUACAGAUGGACCCGCGGCGCAUUAGCUAGUUGGUGGGGUAAUGGCUCACCAAGGCGACGAUGCGUAGCCGACCUGAGAGGGUGAUCGGCCACACUGGGACUGAGACACGGCCCAGACUCCUACGGGAGGCAGCAGUAGGGAAUCUUCCGCAAUGGACGAAAGUCUGACGGAGCAACGCCGCGUGAGUGAUGAAGGUUUUCGGAUCGUAAAGCUCUGUUGUUAGGGAAGAACAAGUGCGAGAGUAACUGCUCGCACCUUGACGGUACCUAACCAGAAAGCCACGGCUAACUACGUGCCAGCAGCCGCGGUAAUACGUAGGUGGCAAGCGUUGUCCGGAAUUAUUGGGCGUAAAGGGCUCGCAGGCGGUUUCUUAAGUCUGAUGUGAAAGCCCCCGGCUCAACCGGGGAGGGUCAUUGGAAACUGGGAAACUUGAGUGCAGAAGAGGAGAGUGGAAUUCCACGUGUAGCGGUGAAAUGCGUAGAGAUGUGGAGGAACACCAGUGGCGAAGGCGACUCUCUGGUCUGUAACUGACGCUGAGGAGCGAAAGCGUGGGGAGCGAACAGGAUUAGAUACCCUGGUAGUCCACGCCGUAAACGAUGAGUGCUAGUGGUUAGGGGGUUUCCGCCCCUUAGUGCUGCAGCUAACGCAUUAAGCACUCCGCCUGGGGGAGUACGGUCGCAAGACUGAAACUCAAAGGAAUUGACGGGGGCCCGCACAGCGGUGGAACAUGUGGUUUAAUUCGAAGCAACGCGAAGAACCUUACCAGGUCUUGACAUCCUCUGACACCCUAGAGAUAGGCUUUCCUUCGGGACGAAUGA